GAGUACCUUAUCCAACCCUCCGUAUCUGAUCCAACCCCUCUCUCUCCCUCCCACCGCGUUCUGCCCGAUCUGUUUCCUGCCUCGUGCUCCCAUCUAAUAAAAAACUAGAAAAAACCGGACUUAAAAAACCGAGGAGUGAAAAGAACCCUGGUCUGCCACCCCCGCGCCACACAACCCUAAGCCUCCCCGAGCACCACUUCCGCCGCGCCGCCACAACCUCCACGCCUCCCCUGCGCCGCUCAUCGCUACCCCCGUCCCUGCCCCCGCCCCCGCCAUGGACGAGCGCUUCGCUGUCACCACCACCCCUCAUCUUCACCGCAGCCACAAGUCUUCCACCGCCGCCCCUGCCUCUUUACUAUCACCACUCGAUCCCAUCGAACCCGUCGGCACGAGCGAACGAUCCAAAAGCCGCCCCACCCACCCAUGGCGCGAGGCAAUCGGAGCGAGAGAGGAGGAGGAUGGCGAGGCGAGGCGGAAGGGGGACGAUGGGGAAGACGCGGUGCGGAUGAAGACGGUGGUGUACGCGCUGUCGCCGUUCUAGCAGAAGGUGAUGCCGAGGCUGUGGAAGGACAUCGCCACCAAGAUCCACCAUAAAGUCUCCGAGAACUGGAUCUCCGUCACACUCCUCCUCACCCCUAUCAUCGGUACUUACAAGUAAGCCCGUACCUCCCUCCGUUCACCCACUCCCCCCACCCCCUGCUGCUCGCCGGCGGUUCCUCUGUGCCGUGCAGAUCUCUGGCUAAAGCCACGCCUUUGAUCCCCCAGAUCCUCCUCCCCUCCUUUCCUCGCUCCAAUGCGCCGCUGCCAUCACUUGGAUGCUAAGGAUGGAUGUUGGCAUCAUCUCGCGGGACAGCUUGGUCUCCGCCGAGCUCGCAUACAGCCUGGGCUGGAUCCGGGACGGGUUCCUCAACCACGCCGAUUGUCUCCCUCUACCUCAUGCCCCAACGUGAUCUAGAUCUGUCGGCCGCUGUUGUGGCGGAUCUCCUCGACGCGGCCUAGGCUCGACAUCCUCCAGCCGCUGCGAAGUGGCGGUGCUCGGGGUUCGACUACUACGUGAUCGUCGGCAAUCGCUCGGGCGGAUCGGGCUACGGCCGCCGUUUGGGAGGUGGAGCACCAACGAGUAGCGGCCAUGCCUGACAGGUGACCCGGUGGAGGAGCUGUGGCGGACGCGCGAGCCCAUGGCGACCGCAGCGGCAAGCGAUCGAGGUGGUUCUCCGUCUCCAUGCUGCAACUGCCUUGCCCUUUCUCGCCGGGGCCAAUUGAUUGGAUGUGGUUCAGGCUGCCGCCCUUCCCUCCGUUUAAUUUCCCAUCAAGAUUACUCCCUAACCCUUAGUUUCUGUAUGAUUCGUAAGCCCAAUUCCCAUUAAUUUUGUUCAUAUUUUCCUUAAGGCUUCGAUACAAAUUUGUUUACCAAAUCAAGGAGUGGAUGCAUGGUAAUUGAGGUGGUCUUGCACAUGGGAGAUCACGGCUGCCGUGGCAUCGCUGAGCAGCAAAUUAGAUGUGUAGCUGCCUAACGGCAACUCUGCAGAAACAGGGGUGAAUGGAUUUAUUCAGUUUUUCAUUGUACAACAAGAUGCAAGUGCAGCCAGGGAAGAGGAAAGUGCUUCUCACUGUUUGUCUACCACCACCUAUGCUGCCCACUAAGGUUGUAAUUGCUCUUUGGUACUGGAUGCCAUGUUGUUGCUGCUGGACGUAGAAUGCCAAAGCAAGCUAGAAGAAUACUCCGAAUACGAUGGCCUCAGUCAGAGAGGAGCCUUGCAUAGAUGACGACGGCUGAGCUACCAUGUUGCAGCCGUGCUCACUGUCCUCGGUGCUGAUUCCUGGAUUCUGCUAGCAAAAUGAAAGUUUUCUCGAAAUGAACUAGAACAUUAUUCUCUUAUGUUGUGUCACAUGUUUUAUCCUUAUGGUACAAGAUAUUGCAUUUGGUUCUUAUAGUAGAGUUGUCGUGGAUGUUUGUUGUGGAUUAGCAAGCUUUGGUGUAUUAUACUCUCAUGUGAUGUGUUGAAAUUAUCCGUAUCUUCAAAAGAUAUUAAAGAGAUUCAGAUAGAGUGCUCUUCAAUUGUUACUCUGUUAGAUAGUUUAAGUGUAAAUAGAAAGGAUAAACGAAUCUGAUUGACAUGUUUAGAUGGUGUAAAUUUGGCUGUUUAGAUAGUUUAAUUUUCAUUUGGCUUGCAGUGCAACAUUCUGGUUGGACUGCAUAUCGGAGAAUCAUGGAAGGCAUGCAGGUUCAGGAACCAGCAUGUAAAUUCUUAUGACAGGAACAGGAAACUGUUGAUCACAUUUUUGCAUGCAUCUACUCCAAGCAAAAUUGUGUUGUGGUUCUAGGCUGGAUCAGAGUACCUCUUCCUGUUGAUGAGCAAUCUUGCGUGGAUUGGUGGUUAGCCCCUCCGAAACUGGUACCUGCAAGAACUAUGAAAGGCUUUGACUUCACCAUUCUUGUAGCUUGGUGAAUUGGAAGAGAACAUUAAAAUCUAUCACGACGCUUCUACAUAGAGUAUCGGAGUGAUUUUCCAGGCUGGAGAAAGACAUGUGCAGUUCUCUAGACAUGUUCUAAUCUCGAUAGUUCAGGCGAUUCAGAGUUGUUUUGGUAUUUUGUUAAAGAUUUAUGAUUUGCUUUAUUUAUAGGUUGAUUGGAUGUCUCAAACCCUGAAUAUAUAGACCAGUCCAGCAAGUUCUUCAGCUUCCGCUGGUAUUACUACUAGACACUAGACUACGAUUAUUGUGACUUAUCUUAUCAGUCAUAAAAGUUCCAUCCAUAUUCUCCAUCGAGAUAAUGUUGCAAGGUGAUUUUUCAUUUUUUUUUAACUCUAUUGCGGUUCUGAUGUGCCAUAACAGCAUAAGAUAUCCCCUUCUCAAAGCACAUCAAUAGAUAGGAAAUGUUAGCCAUUUCCAUGCAUACUGCUAGAUUUUGGGUUUUCCAUUGCCACCGACAUAUAGCUGCAUCAAAAUUCACAUAGAAUUCUUAUAGUUGAAAUAUUGAGGUUUAAUUCUUAUAUUUCUAACUCAUGCUUAUGAUUUUAUUAUUUCAUGUUGGUGUAUGGUACAAUAGAUCUGGAGUUGGGUGUGGAAUUUUUAUAUUUCAGCUUUUUUAUAUAAGCUGCAUAUCCUGCUUCACUUCUUGCAGUAGUGUUGUUCUAUAUAUUGGCAAGUUCUGAUCAGACAGAUUUGCUACUGAUAUCAUUGUUCAUUGCUUGCUUUGUUGAAAUUGUAUACUUGUGAAUGUUUAUUUGAUUUUGUAGGUGAAUUUUAUACUUGUACUUUUAGAUAUGGACAAUUAGGAUUAUGACAGAGCCACAUGCAGACUAUGCUUAUUGAAGCGAUAUGCCCCCGUGUGCUGUGUGGUUUUCAGAUUUCAUGGCUGUCUACCAUCUCAAUUUAGGAAUACUACAUGAGAGCUGGUCUUUCAGUCCCGUAAAAAACAACACCAUCUCAAACUUUCAUAAAUGUCAGAUGAAUUGUUUUUUAUGUUAGACACUGAAAUCAAGUUAAUAUUCUAGACCAGUCUCCUACAAAAUAUUUUAUGAUUGGCGAUCAUCUGAUCUGACCACAAGUUUUAAGAAUUAGAUCAUAGUAAAUAUCUUUCAGUUCAGAUAUGAAUUGAAUUAGCCUCAGAUCUGAGAAGAUCCAUGUGAGAUUUUGCAGUGGUGGAAAUUUUUAUAAUUUCUCAUAUUCCAAGCCUCAUCAGACUGCGAGUUUGUCUGACUGUCUUGCUAUCUGUCAAUCUUGUUAUCUUCCUGUGGCUGUUGAUUGAUGUUGGCAAAUAAACAAAUAAAUUUCUCAUCAUCUAAUGAUCAUUAGGACAAUUAAAGGGCACUGCAGUGCUAAUAGACAUAAUUGGUAACUUGAAUGCUGACUUGAGCUUUUGGGCCUAUUCUGUCGAUCUGAUCCUAUCUAAUUUAUUCAAUACUUGUUGCAGUAUUUCUCAAAUUGGAAAACCGUGUGAAUUAGAUAUCCCUAAAGAAGUUAGAGAUGAUACGAGUUUAACAUGAUGCAACAUAGAUCAUGUGGAUUUUAAUUUUCGACAAACCUUUUUUUCGACGAACAUUUUUUUAUGAACAUGAAUGUAUGGGUUAGAAAUGGAUUUUUGCAUUUUUGCAGCACAAACCAAUGGAUGGGCCCUGCCAUGAUCAUGACAGAUCAUUCCCCCGUUCUCAUGUGUAUCAAUUAAUGUAUCAAUUAGUUUGUAUUUCAUCAUCCAUCUUAUUAGCUCUCUGCUUGCUUUUCUUUUCUUUUCUCAACCAUGAGAAAAAAACUAGAACAUUUCAUUUGGAUGAGGUUUAGUAGUGGGAAUGGAUAACAAUUGUUGCUGGCGAAGCGCGUACUUUCGAGGUUGGUCUAAGAAUCAUGCUCCCACAAACCUUCCCUGGAGGAGAUCGAGAAGUACAAGCACGAUUCUUUGACGCAAUGGUUUCAAUGACUCGGUUUGGGA